rnacentral:lncRNA from 13 species
AUGUUCUCCCUGGGGGCUGACAGGGGAACACUCUACUAUGCACGUCAGCCCCCGUUCUGCAGGCGUUGUAUGGCCUACGGCCAUAUCCUGGCCUCGUGCAGUUCCAAGAGGUGUCGAUUUUGUGGGUCGGAAGAGCACGAGGCCAAGGAAUGUGACGAGCCCAAGGCUUGCCACGGGUGUGGCUCAAGAGCACACCUGUGGCGUGAUUGCCCGGCUCGUCACAGGUCAUACGCGUCUGCAGCUUGGGGGGGAGCGGGGGAUGGGGGGAGGAAAGAGAGGACGCAUGCGGAUUGUACGGAUGGCACAGUGGAAAGGACGGAGAAGGAUGAAGAAGGGAAGAAGGAAGAGGCGAAAAGAAAGAAGAGAGAAGAUGGAAAGAAGGAAAAAGGAGAGAUUAAAAAGGUGGAAGAACGUGGAGGAGCAGAGAAGAGGGAGAAGGGGACAGUGGUACGAGAAGGAGUGGAAGAGGGAAGGGGGACAGAGGGAAGGGGGANNNNNNNNNNUACGGCCAUAUCCUGGCCUCGUGCAGUUCCAAGAGGUGUCGAUUUUGUGGGUCGGAAGAGCACGAGGCCAAGGAAUGUGACGAGCCCAAGGCUUGCCACGGGUGUGGCUCAAGAGCACACCUGUGGCGUGAUUGCCCGGCUCGUCACAGGUCAUACGCGUCUGCAGCUUGGGGGGGAGCGGGGGAUGGGGGGAGGAAAGAGAGGACGCAUGCGGAUUGUACGGAUGGCACAGUGGAAAGGACGGAGAAGGAUGAAGAAGGGAAGAAGGAAGAGGCGAAAAGAAAGAAGAGAGAAGAUGGAAAGAAGGAAAAAGGAGAGAUUAAAAAGGUGGAAGAACGUGGAGGAGCAGAGAAGAGGGAGAAGGGGACAGUGGUACGAGAAGGAGUGGAAGAGGGAAGGGGGACAGAGGGAAGGGGGANNNNNNNNNNUGUCCUCCCGGUUUGCCUCAGCCCCUUGCAUUUUAGUGGAUGACUCCAGUGAGGGGUCGGUGGGUUGUUUGCUAGAGGGAUCCCAACUCCUGUUUGGGGAGAUGGGGUCCCCUAUAUGCAGCCCCGAGGCAAACAGGGAGGGGGGGAUGGUGGGUGGGGAGGGAGGACCCAACACACUGCCUGGAUCAUGGGUUGGGAUGGAGGACGGGGGGGCGUCAGGAGAGGAGAGGACGUCCCCGGCGGGGGAGAUGGACCAGGGGAGCAUCGGGUGA